GAGAGAGAGCGAGAGAGAACAUGUCUGUUUCCUCUCCCCACAUGUCUUCCCCCAUGCUGGUGAUGGCACCUCAGCUCUCUGUGACUCAGUUGAGCAGUUAGCAGCAGCGGAAGCUUCGCUAUGACAACAGAUUAGCAAAUCAUUAGAUUAGAUCAUCAGAUUAGAGAGAAGCCAGACUGCUCCCUACCGGAAUUCCAGCUCCGCACGCAGAAGCAAGCAGAGGAGCAGCCGUCGGCUGUGGACCAGGCGACCGGACCGACGCCGACCCAGGAAGACAGGCACGACUGGAAGGUGCAGUGGGUGGAGCUCCCCUUACCUCUGGUGAUGACUCUGGGGAUUCUGAUAGUGCUGUCAAUCAUCUAUCAGAUGGCCGGGAUUAGACACACCAGAAGGUACAACACGAGCACACAGCCCCUGCAAGGAGUGAGGACGCCAAAGAUCAUUACUUGACCUGACAAAUGAAGUCCUACAAAUUAAUUUAAGUGUACUUUAUGAAUUUGCUGUGCAAGUGAAUUAAUUUAACAGUAAUUAUAUAUUAUAUACCUUAGUUUUGAUAUUAUAUAUUGUUUUGAACAUGGAAUCAGAAAAUCAUAUAUUGAUUAACUGACAAAUGAAUUGUUUCAUUGAUUAACAGAUUCUAAAAUGUUUGGAUGCUUUUUUGCCAUCUCUUUUCCUCUAACCUCCUCUGAUUUUUCAAUGCUUUGGGGUUUUCAGUUUUUCUGUAUUAUAACAUAAUUAUGUUUUAAUGUAUAUGAUCAUCAUGCUGUGAUUGUGACAAUAAAGAUGGGACUGAAUCGUGAACUUGAUGGAAUGUGUUUUCCCUCCUUUCUGUUGGUCUAACCCUAACCUUAUCAGUGACAGUCAGCUUUCUCUUCAAAACAACUAAACAUAAAUCAACUGUGU
ensembl:lncRNA